rnacentral:rRNA from 1 species
AACGAACGCUGGCGGCAUGCCUAACACAUGCAAGUCGAACGGGAUCUUGACUUCGGUCAGGUGAGAGUGGCGGACGGGUGAGUAACACGUGGGAACCUGCCUUUUGGUUCGGGAUAACCGCGGGAAACUGCGGCUAAUACCGGAUACUCCCGAGAGGGGAAAGAUUUAUCGCCAGAAGAGGGGCCCGCGUCCGAUUAGGUAGUUGGUGGGGUAAUGGCCUACCAAGCCGACGAUCGGUAGCUGGUCUGAGAGGAUGAUCAGCCACACUGGGACUGAGAUACGGCCCAGACUCCUACGGGAGGCAGCAGUGGGGAAUAUUGGACAAGUGGGGGCAACCCUGAUCCAGCAAUGCCGCGUGAGUGAUGAAGGCCUUAGGGUUGUAAAGCACUUUUGCCGGGAAGAUAAUGACUGUACCGAAGAAU